CUGUUAGAACAUAACUUUGGGGAAUAUCUGGACGGUGUGGAUGAAACAGGACAUGAUGUUGCACCAUAGAUGUUACUAAGUAUCUUGCCUACACCU